GGUCGAUAAACAUCACAUUCUGAAAACCAGCUCUCUGUUUGCCAUGGUUUUGCACUAUUUGCUCUAAAGUCUUGUGGAUUUGAUGUGAUAUUUAUCAACCUCACAUCAAAUCCACGAGGCUUGUGCCCAUAGAGAAAAACCAUGGCAAACAGAAAACUGGCUUUCAGAAUCAACAACUUCUCGGCC